rnacentral:ribozyme from 2 species
AGUCGUUGUGGCGACUAUAACCAAGCUCUUUAAGCCACAAGCGUUGCUGAUGAGGUUUCAUAACAUCAGCAGGUAGAG